GACGAACGCUGGCGGCGUGCUUAACACAUGCAAGUCGAACGAUGAAGCCAGCUUGCUGGUGGAUUAGUGGCGAACGGGUGAGUAACACGUGGGUGAUCUGCCCCAAACUUUGGGAUAAGCCUGGGAAACUGGGUCUAAUACCGAAUAUGACCGAUACUCGCAUGGGUGUUGGUGGAAAGCUCCGGCGGUUUGGGAUGGGCCCGCGGCCUAUCAGCUUGUUGGUGGGGUAAUGGGCUACCAAGGCGACGACGGGUAGCCGGCCUGAGAGGGCGACCGGCCACACUGGGACUGAGACACGGCCCAGACUCCUAUGGUAGGCAGCAGUGGGGAAUAUUGCACAAUGGGCGCAAGCCUGUUGCAGCGACGCCGCGUGAGGGAUGACGGCCUUCGGGGUGUAAACCUCUUUCACCGGGGACGAAGCGAAAGUGACGGUACCUGGAGAAGAAGCACCGGCCAACUACGUG
rnacentral:rRNA from 1 species